rnacentral:rRNA from 1 species
AAUGAACGCUGGCGGCAUGCCUAACACAUGCAAGUCGAACGAGGGGCGGACGGGUGUGUAAUGUGUGGGAAACUGCUUGAUGGAGGGGGAUACCUAGUGGAAACGGUAGCUAAUACCGCAUACCAUAGGCUGAUACAUGGAGGGAUUAGCUAGUAGGUGGGGUAAAGGCUCACCUAGGCGACGAUCCCUAGCUGAUCGGAGAGGAGGACCAGCCACACUGGAACUGAGACACGGUCCAGACUCCUACGGGAGGUAGCAGUGGGGAAUAUUGCACAAUGGGCGCAAGCCUGAUGCAGCCAUGCCACGUGUAUGAAGAAGGCCUUCGGGUUGUAAAGUACUUUCAGCGGGGAGGCGUUACCCGCAGAAGAAGCACCGGCUAACUCCGUGCCAGCCGCCGCGGUAAUAC